UUAAGUUCAGCGGGUAUCCCUACCUGAUCCGAGGUCAAGAGCGUUAAAUAAGGCUUCUUGGAUGCUGAGGUACAAUGGUCCAGGGCGCAAAAUGUGCUGCGCUCCGAAACAAGUACGCCGGCUGCCAAUUGUUUUAAGGCGAGUUCACACGCAAAGGCGGAACAAACACCCAACACCAAGCAGAGCUUGAGGGUACAAAU
rnacentral:misc_RNA from 1 species